rnacentral:lncRNA from 1 species
GUGUGGCCCUCCCGCGGCCUGCAGUGCGCCCCAGGACUCUCAGCCGUCACCGGGGGACCCCGGCUCCCCACCGAGCGCCGCGCUGCUGACCUUGGGCGACUGGCUGCAUUUUCCACCUGGGACGCUUCGGGUUCACGUGAACUUACAGGGACACAGCCGUCUCGAGCAGCCCCGCUGUUCAUAGACGUUUCUGUCCCCACAGUACCUCCCUGUGUUGGAAACGCAGGACGGUGUCACCCUCCGGCCACCAGAGCGAGCCCUUUCACCCCGGCACAGCGGACUCCCGGCAGCCCCAGCCAAGCCUGGGCGCGCUCCUCGCUGUCCCCACACCCUCCACCACGGGGCACACAGCGGGCGCUGCGGGCAGUCACUGGGGGGCACACAGCGGGCGCUGCGGGCAGUCACUGGGGUCCACACAGCGGGCGCUGCGGGCAGUCACUGGGGUCCACACAGCGGGCGCUGCGGGCAGUCACUGGGGUCCACACAGCGGGCGCUGCGGGCAGUCACUGGGGGCACACAGCGGGCGCUGCGGGCAGUCACUGGGGGCACACAGCGGGCGCUGCGGGCAGUCACUGGGGGGCACACAGUGGGCGCUGCGGGCAGUCACUGGGGGGCACACAGCGGGCGCUGCGGGCAGUCACUGGGGGGCACACAGUGGGUAGUCACUGGGGGGCACACAGCGGGCACUGCGGGCAGUCACUGGGGGGCACACAGCGGGCACUGCGGGCAGUCACUGGGGGGCACACAGCGGGCGCUGCGGGCAGUCACUGGGGGCACACAGCGGGCGCUGCGGGCAGUCACUGGGGGUCCACACAGCAGGCGCUGCGGGCAGUCACUGGGGGCACACAGCGGGCGCUGCGGGCAGUCACUGGGGAUGCUUUCUUACUCAUCUCCGUGUGCCCAGGCGCGAAGAAUGCGAAUUCUCUCAUUGACGGGGACUGUUCUCCAACAGCUGCCUUACAGCUCAUUGAUCGGGAAAACCAAGUUUUUACAUACCUCAGUUUACACUGGCUCCUCGGACGCUCUAUCUAUCUCAAAGGCAGCGUUUUCUCCCUAGGCACGAAAGGGUUCACAAUUACAUCGGAUUUCAGAUUCUCUACGUAA